rnacentral:rRNA from 1 species
GAUGAACGCUAGCUACAGGCUUAACACAUGCAGGUCGAGGGGCAGCAUGGUCUUAGCUUGCUAAGGCCGAUGACGACCGGCGCACGGGUGAGUAACACGUGUGCAACCAACCCCGUACCGGGAGAUAACCCGCGGAAACGUAGACUAACAUCCCAUGAUACUCGAGAGCCGCAUGGCUCUAGAUUUAAAAUUCCGGUGGUACGGGACGGGCACGCGCGACAUUAGGUAGUUGGCGGGGUAAGGGCCCACCAAGCCGACGAUGUCUAGGGGUUCUGAGAGGAAGGUCCCCCACACUGGAACUGAGACACGGUCCAGACUCCUACGGGAGGCAGCAGUGAGGAAUAUUGGUCAAUGGGCGAGAGCCUGAACCAGCCAAAGUCGCGUGAGGGACGAAUGGUCUAUGGCCUGUAAAACCUCUUUUUGUCAAGGAAGAAUAAAUCGCACGGGUGCGAUCUUGCCAGUACUUGACGAAUAAGCAAUCGGCUAACUCCGUGCCAGCCGCCGCCGUAAC